UUAAUAUUAAUUGUGCUGUCACUAGGGUGAUGAUGACGAUGGAUGAAGAUGGACCUGAACCUCUGAACACACAUUUAUGAUUGAAAAAUGUAGGCCAUGUGUUCAGAUGGCUGUAGCUGGCCUGACAAUUUGAUUGGCCGCUCCAAGUGUCACUCCAAAACUCUAAACUGUGAUUGGCUCUCUCCACAAUCUGAGGAAGGGCCUUUAGUAAACCAGGUGGAACCUCCUUGCUUAGCAGUAAGAGUCUUGAAAUUAGUUAGUUAAGUGCAUUAAAUGGAUUUUAGCUGUCCAAAGUUAAGAAUGUGUGUUCCACCGUGUUACAGAUAUCUGACGCGGAUGGACACGGUUAUAUCCGAGUGAACUCACAGCAACUGUGUAGGUCAGGUUUGAAAGGUUAAUGACAAACUGAGGAGGGGCUCUUUGAACUCAAACCUACGGAAACAGACUAACAACAGAAUACGCAUGAGCUUAUUGGAAACAUUUGGUUAUAUUAAUGUAUGACAGCAUGCUGACAAACACACUUAACGUCUCUGAAUCAUCCUGGAAGAAGUUUACUGGAGUGAGCGGCUCUCAAAAGUUACAUUCUGACACCUGAAGCCAUCAAGUUUGACCCGAGAGCAUCAGUCCUGCUGAAGAACGGAUGGCUGCACAAAAGCACCAGUUAUGCUGCACAGCAUCAGGUCAGAAGAAGGAUAGAAACGCAAUGAGUUUCUUCUAACGGUGCCCUUGAGAACAAGCCGCAUAGAGCCGAGAUGUAAACAUGUGAUGCGUCACUUUAGAGCAGAACGGAUCCAGUGCCAAACGAGAUUUCAGAAGACACUGGAAAGCGAAAGCGUGGAGGAGUAAUGGCUUUAACAUAUUGGUGUGUGUUUGAGCCAGUGAGUACUGUGCAGCCUGGAGCCUAUCUGGAUAUUUCCGCCACCAUCCAUCCUUCCAUCCAUCCAUCCAUCCAUCAAUCUAUCCACCUAUCCAUCCAUCCAUCCCUCUGAGAGCUGAGAUCUUCAUUCCCUGUCUUUCGUCAGCGAGCCGCCAGGAGGCCGAUAACAAACCGCUAACGUUUGAUUGAAUUAUCCCUCAACAUGAUGUGGCAGUAAACUGUUAUUCCUCCAUCUUACCAGCCCUCUGCUGUCUCGCCCCUGAGCGACGACUUUCAUCCUCUCUCAUUUCUCUGCUGUCAUACACAUACUGGCACUCGUCUGCCGCCGCAAUGGCUUCGGCCUUUUGCUCAUUUACGGCUCUGUAUUCCCGACAGGCCGUCUGAUUCCUGAGGGGAGGCCUGUGGAGGAUGCUCUGUUGAAUUUACGGCCGUAUAUAAAUAUAUCCAAGCGUGCGUUUCUCUCAGAUUGAAAACAUAUACCUGCGACGAUUGCCUGCUAUGAAGUUCAUUCCAGGGAUCUUCAUUCCCCUUGAGUCGCCAGGAGGCCGAUAGAGAGCAGCUAAUGUUUGAUAAAACAGCUUUAACACCAACCAGAGAACCAUCAGAGAAGCUUGCAUCUGCAUCAAAAGCUCUAUUAUAUAUAUAAAAAAAAAUAAAUCCCACAAAC